AUUGAACGCUGGCGGCAUGCCUUACACAUGCAAGUCGAACGGCAGCAUGAUCUAGCUUGCUAGAUUGAUGGCGAGUGGCGAACGGGUGAGUAAUACAUCGGAACGUGCCCUGUAGUGGGGGAUAACUAGUCGAAAGAUUAGCUAAUACCGCAUACGACCUGAGGGUGAAAGUGGGGGACCGCAAGGCCUCAUGCUAUAGGAGCGGCCGAUGUCUGAUUAGCUAGUUGGUGAGGUAAAGGCUCACCAAGGCGACGAUCAGUAGCUGGUCUGAGGGGACGAUCAGCCGCACUGGGACUGAGACACGGCCCAGAAUCCUACGGGAGGCAGCAGUGGGGAAUUUUGGACAAUGGGGGCAACCCUGAUUCAGCAAUGCCGCGUGUGUGAAGAAGGCCUUCGGGUUGUAAAGCACUUUUGUCCGGAAAGAAAUCGCACUUACUAAUAUUAGGUGUGGAUGACGGUACCGGAAGAAUAAGGACCGGCUAACUACGUGCCAGCCGCCGCCGUAACAC
rnacentral:rRNA from 1 species